rnacentral:rRNA from 1 species
AUUGAACGCUGGCGGCAGGCCUAACACAUGCAAGUCGAACGGUAACAGGGAUCAGCUUGCUGAUUCGCUGACGAGUGUCGGACGGGUGAGUAAUGUCUGGGAAACUGCCUGAUUGAGGGGGAUAACUACUGGAAACGGUAGCUAAUACCGCAUAACGUCGCAAGACCAAAGAGGGGGACCUUCUGGCCUCUUGCCAUCGUAUGUGCCCAGAUGGGAUUAGCUAGUAGGUGGGGUAACGGCUCACCUAGGCGACGAUCCCUAGCUGGUCUGAGAGGAUGACCAGCCACACUGGAACUGAGACACGGUCCAGACUCCUACGGGAGGCAGCAGUGGGGAAUAUUGCACAAUGGGCGCAAGCCUGAUGCAGCCAUGCCGCGUGUAUGAAGAAGGCCUUCGGGUUGUAAAGUACUUUCAGCGGGGAGGAAGGGAGUAAAGUUAAUACCUUUGCUCAUUGACGUUACCCGAAGAAGAAGCACCGGCUAACUCCGUG